UAGGGAAUUUUGCGCAAUGGGCGAAAGCCUGACGCAGCAACACCGCGUGAGGGAUGAAGCUUUUUGGAGUGUAAACCUCUGUCAGUGGGGAAGAAACCUGACUGUACCCACAGAGGAAGCAUCGGCUAACUACGUGCCAGCAGCCGCGGUAAGACGUAGGAUGCAAGCGUUGUCCGGAUUUAUUGGGCGUAAAGAGUUCGUAGGUGGUUUAUCAAGUCUGGUGUUAAAGCCCGGGGCUCAACUCCGGUUCGGCACUGGAUACUGGUAAGCUAGAGUGCAGAAGAGGCAAGGGGAAUUCCCAGUGUAGCGGUGAAAUGCGUAGAUAUUGGGAGGAACACCGGUGGCGAAAGCGCCUUGCUGGGCUGUUACUGACGCUGAGGAACGAAAGCCAGGGGAGCGAAUGGG
rnacentral:rRNA from 2 species